UACAGAGGUCCCGAGCGUUGUUCGGAUUCACUGGGCGUAAAGGGUGCGUAGGCGGCUUUGUAAGUCUGAUGUGAAAUCUCCGGGCCCAACCCGGAAAUGGCAUUAGAAACUGCAGGGCUGGAGGCUUGGAGGGGGAACUGGAAUUCUCGGUGUAGCAGUGAAAUGCGUAGAGAUCGAGAGGAACACCAGUGGCGAAGGCGAGUUCCUGGACAAGACCUGACGCUGAGGCACGAAAGCCAGGGGAGCAAACAGG
rnacentral:rRNA from 1 species